GGGAAAGGUGGAGUAUACGCAAGAGUCUCUCCUAAGUGCUAAGAUUCUGUGAUUCUAUGAAAUCAGACCAUCAGAGAGGAAUACUGCAGUGUUCUCCUGCAUGGGUUGUAAAUGAGAAAAAAGAAAGAAGGAGAGCAAAAUGACUUAAAGACAUUUUCAAGAAAAAAAGAGGAGAGAAGUCACUGAAAUGGAAAAAUAAACAUAUUAUAUAACUAUUUAUUGCACUAUACAAUAAAAACAUCUUCAGCAACAGCCACACAAGUGCGGGUGGAGGGUCUGCUUUGAAGAGAGAAAAAAAUGCUGCUGCAGAAAAAACAAACCUCGAUGCAUAAUUGGAGCUUUUGUUCUUUCUGGAUUGUUUUGUGAAGAACAUGCUGCCAAAAAACAUUUUUCUUCCGUAACCGCUUCUUUUGAAACUCCGUUCUUUUUUAUUUCAAGGAUGUUUAUUAUCUACUCAUUUCUUCUUAUUUAUUUUUGAAUCAUAUACCCCAAUGUCUAGAUGACUGGGACCACUAGGUUUCAUAUUUCCCAGAUGAGAUUAGUUGUACAGUUCAUUUUGCAGGUUUAUUCAGAGCAUUUCAAUGGCAUUUCACCUACAGUUCACCUAUAUUUAGUCCUAAGAAAUUGAAGGUGUUUCUUGAUAGUUUUCCUGCUCCAUCUUCUUCCAGGGGAUUGAUUUGGCUUCUUAUGUUUUUGUAUUUGGUUGCUCAUUAGAGAUAAGCCUGAUUAUUUGGCAUUGUGCAUUUUCUCUGUUUUAAAAAGGGAAAAUACAACAUGUUAUUAAUUAUUAUGAUAUAAUAAAAAAUGGAGAGAAGGAAAAAG
rnacentral:lncRNA from 1 species